rnacentral:rRNA from 1 species
GGGUGCGCAGGCGGGAAGUUAGGUCGGCGGUGAAAUUUCGGGGCGCAACCCCGAGAGUGCCGUUGAAACCGGUUUUCUUGAGUGCGGAUGAGGUAGGCGGAAUUUGUGGUGUAGCGGUGAAAUGCGUAGAUAUCACAAGGAACACCGAUUGCGGAGGCAGCUUAUUAAACCGCAACUGACGCUCAUGCACGAAGGCGUGGGGAUCAAACAGGAUUAGAUACCCUGGUAGUCCACGCAGUAAACGAUGAUUACUAGCUGUUUGCGAUACAAUGUAAGCGGCUGAGCGAAAGCGUUAAGUAAUCCACCUGGGGAGUACGUUCGCAAGAAUGAAACUCAAAGGAAUUGACGGGGGCCCGCACAAGCGGAGGAACAUGUGGUUUAAUUCGAUGAUACGCGAGGAACCUUACCCGGGCUUGAAAUGCAUCUGACCGGGCCGGAAACGGUCUUUCCCAGCGAUGGGCAGAUGUGUGGGUGCUGCAUGGUUGUCGUCAGCUCGUGCCGUGAGGUGUCGGCUUAAGUGCCAUAACGAGCGCAACCCUCAUCGUCAGUUACCAUCGGGUAAAGCCGGGGACUCUGACGAGACUGCCAUCGUAAGAUGCGAGGAAGGUGGGGAUGACGUCAAAUCAGCACGGCCCUUAUGUCCGGGGCGACACACGUGUUACAAUGGGCGGUACAGCGGGGAGCUACCUGGCGACAGGGAGCCGAUCCCGAAAGCCGCUCACAGUUCGGAUCGGAGUCUGCAACUCGACUCCGUGAAGUCGGAUUCGCUAGUAAUCGCGCAUCAGCCACGG